GAUAAACGCUGGCGGCGUGCAUGAGACAUGCAAGUCGAACGGACGAUCAGGGCUUGCUCUGAUCGUUAGUGGCGGACGGCUGAGUAACGCGUAGGUGACCCUGCCUCGAAGUGGGGGAUAACUGCCCGGAAAGGGUGGCUAAUACCGCAUGUGGUGGUUCGUUCAGUCGAACCAUCAAAGCAGUAAUGCGCUUCGAGAGGGGCCUGCGUCCGAUUAGCUCGGGUAGGGUACGGCUCACCAAGGCGACGAUCGGUAGGUGGUCUGAGAGGACGAUCACCCAGACUGGGACUGAGACA
rnacentral:rRNA from 1 species